ACUACGGGAGGCUGCAGUGGGGAAUAUUGCACAAUGGGGGAAACCCUGAUGCAGCGACGCCGCGUGAGUGAAGAAGUAUUUCGGUAUGUAAAGCUCUAUCAGCAGGGAAGAAGAAAGACGGUACCUGACUAAGAAGCCCCGGCUAACUACGUGCCAGCAGCCGCGGUAAUACGUAGGGGGCAAGCGUUAUCCGGAUUUACUGGGUGUAAAGGGAGCGUAGACGGCUGUGCAAGUCUGAAGUGAAAGCCCAGGGCUCAACCCUGGGACUGCUUUGGAAACUGUGGAGCUAGAGUGCUGGAGAGGUAAGUGGAAUUCCUAGUGUAGCGGUGAAAUGCGUAGAUAUUAGGAGGAACACCAGUGGCGAAGGCGGCUUACUGGACAGUAACUGACGUUGAGGCUCGAAAGCGUGGGGAGCAAACAGGAUUAGAUACCCCAGUAGUC
rnacentral:rRNA from 1 species